rnacentral:rRNA from 1 species
AUUGAACGCUGGCGGCAGGCCUAACACAUGCAAGUCGAACGAGUGGCGGACGGGUGAGUAAUGUCUGGGAAACUGCCUGAUGGAGGGGGAUAACUACUGGAAACGGUAGCUAAUACCGCAUACCAUCAGAUGUGCCCAGAUGGGCUUAGCUUGUUGGUGGGGUAACGGCUCACCAAGGCGACGAUCCCUAGCUGGUCUGAGAGGAUGACCAGCCACACUGGAACUGUGACACGGUCCAGACUCCUACGGUAGUCAGCAGGGGGGAAUAUUGAAAAAUGGGCGCAAGCCUGAUGCAGCCAUGCAGCGUGUAUGAAGAAGGCCUUCGUGUUGUAAAGUACUUUCAGCGGUGAGGCGUUACCCGCAGAAGAAGCACCGGCUAACUCCGUGCCAGCAGCCGCGGUAAUUC